rnacentral:ncRNA from 2 species
UUCGGGGUAGAAAAUGAAGCGUUAAGUGCUGAAAGGACGGAAUGUGUCUUUCAGACGAAAGGAUUUCCUGCGGUUUUAUUUUCGCAUUCGCCGCA